GGAGAGCAAACCAAAGUCCAUCGAGGCUAAGAAUGUCCCAUGAAGCCACAAAGUAUGCUCAAAUUUCCCCAGUUGUGUUCAAGAGUCGGAAUGCCAAACCUGAAGGAAUCCUAGCACCUGCCUUAUCUGGUGAAAUUCUGAAUAUAAGAAGAAUGCCCACCCAGGAAAUGUAUAUAUCAGAUGGAAACUGAAGAUGAAAUAGAACACAGAUAACUGAA